rnacentral:rRNA from 1 species
AUUGAACGCUGGCGGCAUGCCUUACACAUGCAAGUCGAACGGCAGCACGGGAGCAAUCCUGGUGGCGAGUGGCGAACGGGUGAGUAAUAUAUCGGAACGUGCCCGGUCGUGGGGGAUAACGUAGCGAAAGCUACGCUAAUACCGCAUACGAUCUACGGAUGAAAGCGGGGGAUCGCAAGACCUCGCGCGAUUGGAGCGGCCGAUAUCAGAUUAGGUAGUUGGUGAGGUAAAGGCUCACCAAGCCGACGAUCUGUAGCUGGUCUGAGAGGACGACCAGCCACACUGGGACUGAGACACGGCCCAGACUCCUACGGGAGGCAGCAGUGGGAAUUUUGGACAAUGGGCGCAAGCCUGAUCCAGCAAUGCCGC